GAAAUGCGAUAAGUAAUGUGAAUUGCAGAAUUCAGUGAAUCAUCGAAUCUUUGAACGCACAUUGCGCCCGCCAGCACUCUGGCGGGCAUGCCUGUUCGAGCGUCAUUUCAACCCUCAGAACCCCUUGCGGGAUCUGGCGUUGGGGAUUGGCAUCCAGCCAGCCCCGAAAUCUAGUGGCGGUCCCUCCGCGACCUCCCCUGUGCAGUAGCGAUACCUCGCAGCGGGACAGCGGUCUGACCACGCCGUAAAACCCCCAACUUCUCAAGGUUGACCUCGAAUCAGGUAGGAAUACCCGCUGAUCUUAAGC
rnacentral:misc_RNA from 1 species